GUGCCAGCAGCCGCGGUAAUACGGAGGGUGCAAGCGUUAUCCGGAUUUACUGGGUUUAAAGGGUGCGUAGGUGGGCAGUUAAGUCAGUGGUGAAAUCUCCGAGCUUAACUCGGAAACUGCCAUUGAUACUAUCUGUCUUGAAUAUCCUGGAGGUGAGCGGAAUAUGUCAUGUAGCGGUGAAAUGCUUAGAUAUGACAUAGAACACCAAUUGCGAAGGCAGCUCACUACGGGGUUAUUGACACUGAGGCACGAAAGCGUGGGGAUCAAACAGGAUUAGAUACCCUGGUAGUCC
rnacentral:rRNA from 1 species